CAAUAGCGUAUAUAUAAGUUGUUGCAGUUAAAAAGCUCGUAGUCGGAUUUUGGCUGAGAACGAUCGGUCCGCCGUUAGGUGUGCACUGAUUGGUCUCAGCUUCCUGGUGAGGAGGUGUGCUUCACGGCCACUUAGUCACCGUGGUUACUUUGAAAAAAUUAGAGUGUUCAAAGCGGGCUUACGCUUGAAUAUAUUAGCAUGGAAUAACACCAUAGGACUCCUGUCCUAUUUCGUUGGUCUCGGGACGGGAGUAAUGAUUAAGAGGAACAGUUGGGGGCAUUCGUAUUUCAUUGUCAGAGGUGAAAUUCUUGGAUUUAUGAAAGACGAACUUCUGCGAAAGCAUUUGCCAAGGAUGUUUUCAUUGA
rnacentral:rRNA from 1 species